rnacentral:rRNA from 1 species
GAUGAACGCUAGCUACAGGCUUAACACAUGCAAGUCGAGGGGUAACGAGAGGAAAGCUUGCUUUCCUUGUCGACGACCGGCGCACGGGUGAGUAACGCGUAUCCAACCUGCCCCCAACUAGGGAAUAACCUUGCGAAGGUAAGACUAAUACCCUAUAAUUUCCUCAGAUGUCAUCUGACGAGGAAUAAAGAUUUAUCGGUUGUGGAUGGGGAUGCGUCUGAUUAGCUUGUUGGCGGGGUAACGGCCCACCAAGGCAACGAUCAGUAGGGGUUCUGAGAGGAAGGUCCCCCACAUUGGAACUGAGACACGGUCCAAACUCCUACGGGAAGCAGCAGUGAGGAAUAUUGGUCAAUGGGCGGAAGCCUGAACCAGCCAAGUAGCGUGCAGGAUGACGGCCCUAUGGGUUGUAAACUGCUUUUAUACAGGAAUAAAGUUAGCCACGUGUGGUUAUUUGUAGGUACUGUAUGAAUAAGGACCGGCUAAUUCCGUGCCAGCCGCCGCAGUAA